UACGAGGGGUGCAAGCGUUGUUCAGAAUUAUUGGGCGUAAAGGGAGCGUAGGCGGUUUUGUAAGUCGUGUGUGAAAUCUUCGGGCUCAACCCGAAGUCUGCACACGAAACUGCAGGGCUUGAGUAUGGGAGAGGUGAGAGGAAUUCCUGGUGUAGCGGUGAAAUGCGUAGAUAUCAGGAGGAACACCUGUGGCGAAAGCGGCUCACUGGACCAUUACUGACGCUGAGGCUCGAAAGCUAGGGGAGCAAACAGG
rnacentral:rRNA from 1 species